AGGACAUGGGAUUAUCAGCCUAAGGCAUGAGUACAUGCUGUGGAAACAGAAAUAUGUAUGAAGGGAUGUAUGAAACCACAGAAUAAAUGGAAUCCACAUUCUUGAAGUAGCUACAACUCUACUUGAGGGAAAAUAAUGCUUGGCUUCAGGUAUUUGGAAAUACUGCACAUUCGGGCUAAGAAUGAGAUGACCAUUUUCUCAUUUUCAACUAAUUAUUUCAAGAUACCAAAACAAAACAAACAAAUGCCAUUGUACUGGCCUGCGUAGCUUACAACAGUUACCCUGUCUAAGAAGGAGAUUGAUUCCAGAACCCAGAAUAAAGCAGAGAAUGCAGAUGGUGGUCACAUGGGUUCAGAUAUUCCAUGUAGAACUGUGGGAUGAAGUGCAAUCAGCUGUGACUGGUUGGAAUAAGGACCUGCCUUAUCCCAUGGAGAGUUAGAGAAUCUGUUCCAACAAGGACAGAAGGUCCAGGUGGGAAGAGCUCUGGAAAACAAAACUCUCUGACAGCGCUCUUGAAAGCUCUGCUGGCAUCCCAAGGCACGUAGAUAGUACCUAUACAUCUCAUCAGGAACAUGGAUGGUUCUCUGCUAUCAGCUGAAGUGCUGUGACCACAAAACUGAAAAUUCCCAUUCUGUGUCCUUGCCAAUAAAGAAUGUCCAUCAGAGCACGCCCAGUAUCCUAGCUCCUUAUCCAGACUGUGCUUCUCAAUGUGACAAGGAAGACUGCAACCCUAUUUGCUUCUGAUAACCUUCCUAUGACUAAGUCUUCUCUGGUUGAGAUUCCUGGGGAGGACACUCAUGACAAUUGUGGUUUUUGGAGGAUCUAUCUUUAGGCAGCUAAAAGGAAGUUCAGAGAAAGCCCCUUCCUAUACUUCGCAGGAGAAAAAAGAGGUGUGCUACAACAACAUGACCCCAGCAAGCAAGAUUAUUUCUGUGCACUGAUAGGAAAAGGAAGCAAGCCAUGAGUGCCUGUUGAAGCUGGAAAAGCAAGAUUGAUGUUGAGGCUUGAUUGAAGGAGUGCAAGGUCACUCACAGAAGAAGUCAUGGUGCAAGAGUACAUCUCAAUCCUGCCCUAGCCUGGAAACAGCAUGCUCUGCUGCAUUUGCAUGCCCAAGGCACUGCUUGUCCUAAGCCCCAUCCUAGAAACUCUCUAUAGCUUUAUUUCCCUUAAGAAGGUAGAAAAACAUCAACAACCUAUCCGUACUAGCUGAAUGGCCUCUAGGCCUAUUGGGCAAGUACACCCAGAUGAGCAUCACUCUUAAGUGGCUGCUUCAGGUCAAGGUCUUUUGUGUUGGGGCAGCUGCAAACUGGCCUCUUUGGCUAUCCCAAGACCCUCUAAGUCCAAGGAGCUUUCAACCUCUAGUGAUGUUCAAUCUCUGUAAAGCUGUGUAAUGGGGGAUAAACAUUAAAGUUGUUUCACAUUUAAAAAAAAA
ensembl:lncRNA LINC02208 long intergenic non-protein coding RNA 2208